rnacentral:tRNA from 1 species
GCGAAGAGAGCUCGGUAGGUGUGAGUACUAGAUUGUGAAUCUAGAGGUCAUGGGUUCGAAUCCCAUUCUUCGCC